rnacentral:lncRNA from 1 species
ACUGAUUUGAUCCAGUAUGCCCAUGCCAUGAUGCUUGUGGAGAGACAGCGAUCCUGGAACGGGGAGGCAAAGGUCCGCCUCCUGCCGGAUACCACAAACAUUUUCUUUUAUUAAUUUUCUUCGUUUUCCUUAUUUUCUUCAUCAAAUUACACCACCGAAUAAGAUGGAUCGCGCAUUGUUCCCACCAUGAGCCCACACUUCGAUUCGAAUUGUGAACAUCCUCUCAAUUUCAAUUUUAAGUUUAAAGAUUGAAGUUUCGAAAAACGUAAUAGGCCUAGAAAAGGCAGUUUAAGUAGAACAUUUGACACCGUUUCAUCGCCACCGGCAUGGGCGGGGGUAGAGGAGUUGCCUGUCAUGUGUCCGGUCCUGGGUUCGAUUCCCAGUGUAGGCUGGGAACACUUCAACAAAAAGUUUCUACGUCUGCUUUGCUUCUGUCUUCACUGGAACUAACAACACUUACAAAGCCAACAAGUGACACUACAAAUACACAUCACAAGAAAUGAAAUCAAAAUUUAAAGUAAAAUGUAAAUAAUUGGGAACAAGUACAAAUCAAAAUUGUAAAGUUAAAUAAAUUUUGUUUUUUUUUCUUUUUCUAAUAGAUAUGAAUUUUGAUCUUAAGAAGUGGUUUAACUCAAUUUUUGAGUGAUGGUGCAGGAGGGGGAUGAAAUGUCGCCGAGAGACUUUUCUUUCAGUUGCUGGAUUAACAUUGGCUUUGUUUUGUAUUGUUCGGAAGCAAUAUUUAAUUCGUUCGAGGCUUGGAAGCCUAAGAACACCACUACCAUUGGGAAGUUUAUUAUUAUUAUUUGCAGACACAAAUGUGACCAGACAUCAAUCGGAUAAGUUGUAGCAAAUGAAUGCAACAGAUAAUUCCCAAUGCUACGCUUGAACAACAACAGCGAGUAGGGACGUGUGAGACGCUUUUUACGCGUUACAACUUUUAUACCCGGUACUCAGUAGAACUUCUGGAUCUAAGUGGUUUAUUUAAAAUUUAACAUUUCAUCCAUUUUUUUACAUAAAGAAGAAAAAAUCCAUAAAAAAUUACCUGUUGGAGGGUUGCGUGCCCAACUGCCAAAUUAAAAAAAUUCUAAAC